UCAUGAAGUCGGGUACUUAAUUUCAUCCGAGAAAUGGGCCAAGAGCUGCCGGGUCAUGUUCAAGUAUGUUGCAAGGGCUGCAGUUGACACCAACUUAUAAACUGAUUUUCCCUUCGACUUGACAUUAUUCGAACGUUGCUGGAAGGCACCUCCUUAUCCAACUUAACCACCUCGUUCUCCAUAACGCUUUAAUUUGAGGUUGAGAGGUUGCCUCUUGUAAUAAGGUAAGGCAAAUUUAAGCGCAGUCAUUCGACAAACAUCGACAAGGACUUAGUCGAGCUGAGUUACUCAUAAAUCCUGCCUGCCUUUCUGGCAGUAGGCAAAGCUAUUUUAGCUCAACUCGCAGUUGGCCAGAACUUUAUUUGGUUAUUUUAAGUUAAUAGCCGGCUCGAACUCUAGUUUUUGAAUUUAAACAAACUAGUUGUUCUUUCGAGCCAACAUAAUUGGAGAGCUCUCCAGCAUACUUUUUCAGGGCUUAAAUUCUUUUGUAACUUUAACUAAACUUGUUCUAGUUUGGGUGUGGAAAGUCCUCCUUUGGAUUAAGCGUGUGUGAAACUGAACCAUUUCAUUGGCGACUGAUGAUAGCACUGUGUGGCCUUUGCUCCUGGCUGUUGACGUGCCACAUGCCUCUCAUAGAGGCUUCUGCUUAUUCCUGCUGCUUCUGCUUACCCAUUUUGGAUUAUGCCAACACUUUUAUGGCAUGUCCUAUGAAGAUUCUCAAGCAUACCUUUCUCUGGAAACUGUGCCCCGCCCCAACCCACCUGAACGGCAGAAGAAGUGUAGCUGUGCGUCUGUCAGCCAGUCUUCAAUCUCUUUUGUGCCUCGCAUUUCAGCUUUUCUGGCACACGAGCCACAAACUGCUAAUUUGGUUUGAUGUAUUGCCCCAGAGACAUCCAUCAGCAGUUGAAGCCAAAACUGACGCUGACGCUGACGCAGACGUUCUCUCUCGGAGCUACACAUUCAACAAUGUUUUGGAGGGCCAAAACGUGUCUCGACUGUCUGGGACAACAAUUGUUUAUGGAAUAUUUUGAGUAGAUAUUUUCCGGCUUCCUACUCUUUGAGCUUGCAUUCGGAGAAUGUUUGCUACUUGCUGGUAUUUAUAUUUUCCAGACGAAAGGAGGAUUUAUGCUGAUCUAAUCUAAAAGCUAUAUAUACUAAUUUUGGCAGAUAGGCUAUCAUAUAAUAUUAUAUUAUAAUCGACAUUCAGAUUUACAAAAUCUGAGAUGCUUUAGACCUAUGCCCUGAAGUUGUCAAAAGCAGAAGAAGGUACUUCAAAAAGUAUAUUCCAUAUGUAUAUCAAAGGAAGCAGGCAGCUCGACGUUGCGCUUAGGGUAUCUCUAAUGUCGGCACUCCCGACUAUUUUUAUUUGCAACAAAUCCGAGUUUUAAGCUUAUUUGAAAAGUGCUUGAAGCCGCACUGUCAAAUUACGACAUGCUGCUGAAUAGAAGAUGAGUCGGAUAAAGACCCUUUCCCUUUUUCUAGUCUCUUUGCAGCGGAAUGUAGGAGGACAACAACCACAGUGUUCCUCCAGUCUUCUGCUUUGAAGAUGUGUCGCCAUUGUCGUCGUCUGUGGCCGCGAUGUCACCGCGAACGGAAGCCAUGAAUCACACUUGCAGCUUAGCAUUCCUGCGCUGCGGAUGCCUUUGUGGUGGUGGUCUCCGCUGGCAACGGACACGGACCUGGCGCAGUUCUUGCCAAUUUUUGACUGAAUUUUUGGAAUAUCACAGAGCAGCGCAGAACAACGGGCAUGGACGUGGAAUAAUUAACUGACGAGUGGAUUGUGAAUUACCUAGGAUUACUUUACUCAAACAGAUUAACGCUACUUCGCUUUUUUAACAACAAAAAAUAUGCCGGACUAGAGUAUACUACGUGAACAGGUUUAUUAUGAACUUUCGCUCAUGCAUCUUUUGGAUUUUCUGAAAAGUGUACAACACUUUUCCAAAUGAACUUGAGGACAGAUCUAAGCUUGAGUCCGAUUGGGAGGUAGAUCCAACAGGUACACACAAGUUCUUCCUCAGCUUCAUCUUACCCCUAAUUAAUAAAAUAAAUAAAACAUUUCAA